GAUUUGAGCGCGAAUCCUGACAAUACAUGGUACGUUCUUAGUCACUCCUAUAAAGAUGGGUCGGACACUCAGUGGUCAUCAUUUAGCUCAGUACUUGCUCAGUGACAACAACCUCCAAAAUGUACAAAUUGUUCGUGUUCGCCUGCAUGCUGGUAAUGGCAGCAGCGGCUCCUAACCCAGCUUUGUACUACAGCUCUCCCUACACAGCUGCGUACACCGCGCCCCUGUACUCCGCGUACACAGCGCCCCUAGCGUACUCCGCGUACACAGCACCCCUGGCCUACUCCGCGUAUACAGCACCGGUGGCGUACUCCUCCUCAUACUCCUAUUCCUCGCCUUACUACUUCUUUAAAUAAGCAGUGUUUCUUUAAACCGAGUAUUUUAGCGAACAAAUAAAUUAUUUAGUGUUACUUGCA